GCAAACCGUAUGCUUGGCAUCUCCCAAGCGGAACCUUUGCAGGAACCGAGAGCUUCCCUCCCACCUCAGAACUGCAGUCGCCGCAGCGCUGUGCCCGGAUUGACUUUUAUGGGUUUAUUCCUGAUUUAUCGGCGCUGUGCAUGAAAGGAAAGCAGCCCUGCCCGCCAGACUUUUUUUUUUUUUUUGCUAUGAUGCAUCGCUCAGAGUGGGCACAGCUAAGGCGGUUUCCUGUCCCCCUCGCUGGAGUAAAGGUUGUGCCUGUGCUUGGGACGAAAACCCCAGCUGUUGUCCUCUUUAUCCCCAACGCAGAACCAGCCCAAAAACAGAGGCGGCGAGCGAGCGGCGAGCCAGGGGAGGGCACACAAAAAGCCCUUUUUGCAGCCGCUCAGCGCGCAUCCUGUUGCCUGCGCUGCUCCGUCGUAAGCCGGUCGAAGGGCCCCAUGUGGACGGACGGACGGAGAAAUCUCUGUAGUGAAUCACCAAGAGAGCCAGCGGGAAGGGAGAAAAAUCCGAAGUCGCAGACGGGAAAGGAGAAGGGAGUGAGUUUGAGACAGAAACGGUUGCAGGAGGUGAAUGGGAAAGAACUGCCCUCUUUUCCCCGCUGGCAUUUGUUUUCAGCCUCCCUGUUCAUGACUCAGCAAAGUUGCUUACGCGCUUCACAUUUCCUGCAUAUUCAGUACACUUGAUUCAGCUACUUCCGUUAACACCUGNGCUAUAGUGGAUCACAGUGUGUGCACAGCAGACAGUUUCAGGUACCUUGAAUUUUAAUUCUCUUUCAGCUGUCAUUCCUUCUGAAUAUGGGGCUCUAGGGGCUGUAAUUCAAUUAAGAGACUGGUAAUCCUCAACACACCAUUCUCUGCAUUCUCCCAAACCACAUCUCACAAAAGACAGCAGAAAGAGCCUGGGCGUGAAGGUAUAGAAACUUGAGCUGCCUGGGCAUUAGAGUUUUCCGUCUUGUUCUUAGCAGUGGGAUCUAAUGGAGUGUAAACAUGGCUUUUGGUGCAGGGUUGGCUGCAGAAACUUCCAGAAAGAUGACCAGUGCUCCAUCCAACCACCUUUGGGGCUGCAAUAUGGAUUUUCUCUCAUAGCCUUUUCCUUUCCUGAGCCACUCACAAGACUGUGAGGCUGUUUUANCCAUAACUGGGAACCCACNGUACACUCAUCUUUUAUUUGGUUCCUACAAGAUGCCAUGCAGUGCCCACGUGUCUUAUGCAACCCACUGCCACUUAGGGAAAACAGGGCUAGGGGAGCCACGCAGCCUGAAUCCAUGGGCCUUUCUGCACAGACCCUUAAUCUGCAUUGAUAAUCUGUGUAGUUCACUUCUAGGCCACACAGAUCUUCACAUUAGCGUAGAUCUAUGAGGCCANGCCCCCUGCUGGUAUACUUUGUCCGCACAAGACAGCGCAAGAUCCAGAUUAAGGCUCUGGCAGAUCCAACUAAUUGGGUAGUACGAGCUUUGCAGCUACGGCAUGGGGCAAUCUGGGCCAGUGCCAUCAACGCAGAUGGCACUAAUCCCGCCUACACCUGCUCACGAUCCAGAAUAUCCAUGUUUUAUUUCAGGAUAUCCAAAUAUAGUGGAAUAAGGAAGCAAUGUCUGGAUGCCUCUUUGGAUGCCUCUAAAAACAUGUGCAAAAUAAACCAUUCUGGCUUCCACA
rnacentral:lncRNA from 1 species